GCUCAUACUCGUGUUAUCUUCCAAUGCCUGCAGAUGGUUUCUUUAAUUAUUGCUUUGGUCUAGAACACUUCAGCUUAACUAGAAUUUCCCAGCUCUUUACUUUCCAAGAAAUAUAGCUACAGACUAUGAACUCUCCAUGGUUGCUGGGAGGAGAGGCUGAUUUUCCCCAGAUGAAUAGAUGAACUGGACUUGCCAUCUGUCAGGUGCAGAGAUCUCCUUGUUAACGUGGGUGAUCAGGAUGUUAAGCUUCCUUUCUAGGUACUACAGACCAAGAUGAACCAAGAAGGGCUAUAACUGGCAAAACCUGACCGUAAGAAAAAUCUCACUAAGUUGAUCAAGAGGUGUUAUAGCAGAUUAACACUCCUGCUAGUGGGUUGCUCAGUUAAGCUGUGGAUCUUUGAAGCCUGUGAACCUUGUCAACUUUUCACCCAGACCACAGUACAGAAAUAUCUGGAUGAAAUGGCAUUGAGCUUGCUCACUAUGAAAAUACACAGUUGAACACUCACAUACCUUCUUAACCUCUCAGGGAAGCUGUUUUCCAUUCCUUCUGCUAGACAGACUCCUUACUGAUUGAUGGUAUGUUUCUCCAUCCAUAUUUAACAUGUUCAUAAAUGUUUUGACACCUUGUUUCCAAAGAUUUUAAUAAAAAGAGUAUGCAGAGAACCCAUGAGAUUAGCUUCUCCACCUUCCUUAAUUUUAAGUUAUAACUGGAAUAUUCCUGAAAAAUCACUGUAUCAAAGCAGCACAGAGGUUCCUCUGCUGCUCAACCUCAGCUGUCAGCUGCCUCCUGCUCCUCUGAUCCCUGCUCUGCCACUGCUGCUCACAGCACCAUUUAUUGUAACAGUGGCUGUGAUAGCGUGAUGUCUUGUUCCAUGGAUGAUGAACAUAAAAUAAUCUAUUUCCUUGUAAUUAUUAUUAUCAACUAAGAUUGACCACCAAACAACCAAAAUUUACUUUUGAUUUACAUUUGCUAAUCAUACAUAAAAAGUUAAUGUGUAUAUUUUUGUCUCAAGCAUUAAGAGCAUAAAAAACAUUACACAUUUUCCUUACCAAUUGUUGCUCCAUUAGGCCUUUUUACAAGUUAUCAAUUUAAUUAUCAAUAGAAUCCUUAUUUGCUAAAGGAUACAUUCUAGUUAUUAAUUUGCUUAUUAGUUUUUAAAUGUAAAAUUUACGCAAUUGAGGCUACCAAUUUUUAAACAACCUAGCAUCUUUCCACUUAUUUACUGGAAUUAGUGCUGCCUCUGCAGUAAAUGCUUUAGAGUUUAGUUGACCAUUUUUGACCAGUUUGGAUGUUUUAAAGAAAAAUAAUUGUCUUAUAAUACUACCAGUUUCUUCUGUUCACAAGAAAGGUUUUGUAGGUUUAGUUAGAUUUUGCAUUUUAAACUGUCACUCUUACAUAUAUGUCAAAUGUCCUGAAUUAUGCAAACAGGAGAUGUAAUUAAAUUACUCAAAUGAAAACAUUUUAAUUCACAGAAAGUGAAUCAGAGUAGAAAAGCAGGAAAACAUAUUAUGCAGGGAAGAGGGGAUAUUUUGUCAAAAAGAGGAAAAGAAAAUAGAUCAUCUACUCAACAAAAAACUCACAUUUGUUUAUAAGAAGGUGAUAUUGCUGAGACAAUGAUUGGAUGAACAGUAUUUGGAUGAUGAAGGAAACACAUUUUUUAAUCUUAUGCUGUGAAACCCAGAGUGAUGAACAGAAGAGUUUAAAAAAUGCCUUGACAAAAGUGUUUAGCAUGAUGAACUUCUGGUUUCAUCUUCCACUAAUAUGAUGAAAUAAGUUUCUUAAUUUUAUUUAAGUCAAAAAGAUCAGGAUCAGGGAUUGUAUCUUUUUCUGUAUUGUAUUGUGCCUACCACAAAGUAUUCUAGGAAGCUACAAUAUUUGUAUCUUUUACAAAAAAUAUAAUUAUUAGUUAAUAAUUUUGAAAUAUACCAUAUCACUGAAUUACUUCUGCCAAGGACUAAGGUUUAAAAU